AGAGUUUGAUCAUGGCUCAGAACGAACGCUGGCGGCGUGGAUAAGACAUGCAAGUCGAGCGCUGAUUUCAGGGUAGCAAUAUUCUGGAGUCGGAGCGGCGCAAGGGUGCGUAACACGUGGGUAAUCUGCCAUGAAGUCUGGAAUAACUUGCUGAAAGGCGAGCUAAUACCGGAUGUGACCAUCGGGAGGCAUCUCCUGAUGCUUAAAGUUGGGGACCGUAAGGCCUGACGCUUCAUGAUGAACCCGCGGCCUAUCAGCUAGUUGGUGAGGUAACGGCUCACCAAGGCUAAGACGGGUAGCUGGUCUGAGAGGACGACCAGCCACACUGGAACUGAGACACGGUCCAGACACCUACGGGUGGCAGCAGUCGAGAAUUUUUCACAAUGGGCGCAAGCCUGAUGGAGCGACGCCGCGUGGGGGAUGAAUGGCUUCGGCCCGUAAACCCCUGUCAUUCGCGAUCAAACCUCGUUAUUUAAAAGAUGACGAGCUGAUAGUAGCGGAAGAGGAAGGGACGGCUAACUCUGUGCCAGCAGCCGCGGUAAUACAGAGGUCCCAAGCGUUGUUCGGAUUCACUGGGCGUAAAGGGUGCGUAGGUGGUGAGGUAAGUCGGAUGUGAAAGCUCGGAGCUCAACUCCGAAAUGGCAUUGGAAACUACCUUGCUCGAGGGUUGGAGGGGGGACUGGAAUUCUCGGUGUAGCAGUGAAAUGCGUAGAUAUCGAGAGGAACACCAGUGGCGAAGGCGAGUCCCUGGACAACUCCUGACACUGAGGCACGAAAGCUAGGGGAGCAAACAGGAUUAGAUACCCUAGUAGUCC
rnacentral:rRNA from 1 species